UGUAAUAAACUCACAAAAUGCGACUUGUUCUCUCUGUAUUGUGUGGAGUUGCUCAUAGUACGGAUUGAACACGUCGCUGUUUUUGAGUUUACGCUU